CGCCUUUAGAAACUCAAUUAAAGGUAUAUUCUGCCCUAUGAUAACAUUAAAUGGCCGCGGUACCCUGACCGUGCUAAGGUAGCAUAAUAAUUUGCCUCCUAAUUAGAGGCUGGAAUGAAGGAACUCACGAAAGUUUAACUGUUUCAUUUUUACUUCUAAAAACUAUCAUUCAAGUGAAGAGACUUGUAUUUUAUAAAAAGACAAAAAGACCCUAUUGAGCUUUAUUCUACUUCAGGAAAAUAAAAAACUAUGAACUAUUACCCUGAUAAAGAAUUUUGUUGGGGCGACAAGAGAAGACCUAAAUCUUCUCAACCUCCUAAGGCUAUAGGCCAUAAAAAGAUCCGUCUAAAACGAUUCAAAAAUCUAGCUACCCUAGGGAUAACAGGCUAAUCUUCUUUGAGAGCCCAAAUUGACAAGAAGGAUUGGCACCUCGAUGUUGGCUUAGGGUACCAAAUAAAUGCAGAAGUUUAUUGAAGUAGGUUUGUUCAACCUUUAAUACCCU
rnacentral:rRNA from 1 species